UUGGAGGGCAAGUCUGGUGCCAGCAGCCGCGGUAAUUCCAGCUCCAAUAGCGUAUAUUAAAGUUGUUGCAGUUAAAAAGCUCGUAGUUGAAUUUCGGGAUCAAUUUGCUGGUCGUGCCUCUGGUACGUACUGGUAUUAUUGGUUUCUCCCUUCUGACGAACCAUGAUGUCAUUAAUUUGAUGUCGUGGAGAAUCAGGACUGUUACUUUGAAAAAAUUAGAGUGUUUAAAGCAGGCAUUAGCUUGAAUACAUUAGCAUGGAAUAAUGAAAUAGGACGUUUGAUCCUAUUUUGUUGGUUUCUAGGAUUGACGUAAUGAUUAAUAGGGAUAGUUGGGGGCAUUAGUAUUCAAUUGUCAGAGGUGAAAUUCUUGGAUUUAUUGAAGACUAACUACUGCGAAAGCAUUUGCCAAGGAUGUUUUCAUUAAUCAAGAACGAAAGUUAGGGGAUCGAAGACGAUCAGAUACCGUCGUAGUCUUAACCAUAAACUAUGCCGACUAGGGAUCGGAUGAUGUUAAUUUUUAAUGACUCAUUCGGCGCCUUACGGGAAACCAAAGUGUUUGGGUUC
rnacentral:rRNA from 1 species